rnacentral:rRNA from 1 species
UACGGAGGGUGCAAGCGUUGUUCGGAAUCACUGGGCGUAAAGGGCGUGUAGGCGGUCCGCUAAGUCUGAUGUGAAAGCCCGGGGCUCACCCCCGGAAGGGCAUUGGAAACUGGCGGACUCGAGUCCCGGAGAGGAAGGUGGAAUUCCUGGUGUAGCGGUGAAAUGCGUAGAUAUCAGGAGGAAUACCGGUGGCGAAGGCGGCCUUCUGGACGGUGACUGACGCUGAGACGCGAAGGCCAGGGGAGCAAACGGG